GUUGUGUGUGUCCCGUCUGAGGUGCAGGAAACGAUUGAAGCUUUACCCAGACUGAGAAGUGAGUCUCAGGUGAUGAGAGUAAAACUGAAGAGACCAUUGUGUUAUAAGGGACACCAACUUUUUCAGACAGUUAAUUGGUCAAAGCUCAUUCAGGCUUUGCAUAAACUCAAAGAGAUCCAUCCACAGUAUGAGGACAUAACGAUCAGAGAUGAGGCUGAGUUAUGUGAUCCAACACUUCCUGAUGAUGAUGAUGAUACUGAUGAGGAAGG